GAUGAACGCUAGCGGGAGGCCUAACACAUGCAAGCCGAGCGGUAUUGUUUCUUCGGCAAUGAGAGAGCGGCGUACGGGUGCGUAACACGUGUGCAACCUGCCUUUAUCUGGGGGAUAGCCUUUCGAAAGGAAGAUUAAUACUCCAUAAUAUAUUGAACGGCAUCGUCUAAUAUUGAAAGCUCCGGCGGAUAGAGAUGGGCACGCGCAAGAUUAGCUAGUUGGUGAGGUAACGGCUCACCAAGGCGAUGAUCUUUAGGGGGCCUGAGAGGGUGAUCCCCCACACUGGUACUGAGACACGGACCAGACUCCUACGGGAGGCAGCAGUGAGGAAUAUUGGUCAAUGGGUGCAAGCCUGAACCAGCCAUCCCGCGUGAAGGACGACUGCCCUAUGGGUUGUAAACUUCUUUUGUAUAGGGAUAAACCUACCCUCGAGAGGGUAGCUGAAGGUACUAUACGAAUAAGCACCGGCUAACUCCGUG
rnacentral:rRNA from 1 species